rnacentral:tRNA from 1 species
UUGGUCAAGCGGUUAAGACACCGCCCUUUCACGGCGGUAACACGGGUUCGAAUCCCGUACGGGUCA